rnacentral:rRNA from 1 species
GGCGGACGGAUGAGUAACACGUGGGUAACCUGCCCAUAAGUCUGGGAUAACUCCGGGAAACCGGGGCUAAUACCGGAUAACCUUUUGAACCGCAUGGUUCGAAAUUGAAAGGCGGCUUCGCCUGUCACUUAUGGAUGGACCCGCGUCGCAUUAGCAAGUUGGUGAGGUAACGGCUCUCCAAGGCAACGAUGCGUAGCCGACCUGAGAGGGUGAUCGGCCACACUGGGAAUGAGACACGGCCCAGACUCCUACGGGAGGCAGCAGUAGGGAAUCUUCCGCAAUGGACGAAAGUCUGACGGACCAACGCCGCGUGAGUGAUGAAGGCUUUCGGGUCGUAAAACUCUGUUGUUAGGGAAGAACAAGUGCUAGUUGAAUAAGCUGGAACCUUGACGGUACCUAACCAGAAAGCCACGGCUAACUACGUGCCAGCAGCCGCGGUAAUACGUCGGUGGCAAGCGUUAUCCGGAAUUAUUGGCCGUAAAGCGCGCGCAGGUGGUUUCUUAAGUCUGAUGUGAAAGCACACGGCUCAACUGUGGAGGGUCAUUGGAAACUGGGAGACUUGAGUGCAGAAGAGGAAAGUGGAAUUCCAUGUGUAGAGGUGUAAUGCGUAGAGAUAUGCAGGAACACCAGUGGCGAAGGCGACUUU